rnacentral:rRNA from 1 species
AAUAGAUACCCGGGUAGUCCACGCCGUAAACGAUGAGUGCUAGGUGUUGGGGGGGUCCCACCCCUCGGUGCCGAAGUUAACACAUUAAGCACUCCGCCUGGGGAGUACGGCCGCAAGACUGAAACUCAAAGGAAUUGACGGGGACCCGCACAAGCAGUGGAGUAUGUGGUUUAAUUCGAAGCAACGCGAAGAACCUUACCAGGUCUUGACAUCCCUCUGAAUCCUCUAGAGAUAGAGGCGGCCUUCGGGACAGAGGAGACAGGUGGUGCAUGGUUGUCGUCAGCUCGUGUCGUGAGAUGUUGGGUUAAGUCCCGCAACGAGCGCAGCCCUUGAAUUUAGUUGCCAGCACUUUGGGGUGGGCACUCUAGAUUGACUGCCGGUGACAAACCGGAGGAAGGCGGGGAUGACGUCAAAUCAUCAUGCCCCUUAUGACCUGGGCUACACACGUACUACAAUGGCCGGUACAACGGGCAGCGAAGGAGCGAUCCGGAGCCAAUCCUACCAAAGCCGGUCUCAGUUCGGAUUGCAGG